rnacentral:rRNA from 1 species
GAUGAACGCUGGCGGCGUGCUUAACACAUGCAAGUCGAACGGAAAGGCCCAAGCUUGCUUGGGUACUCGAGUGGCGAACGGGUGAGUAACACGUGGGUGAUCUGCCCUGCACUUCGGGAUAAGCCUGGGAAACUGGGUCUAAUACCGGAUAGGACGAUGGUUUGGAUGCCAUUGUGGAAAGUUUUUUCGGUGUGGGAUGAGCUCGCGGCCUAUCAGCUUGUUGGUGGGGUAAUGGCCUACCAAGGCGUCGAUGGGUAGCCGGCCUGAGAGGGUGUACGGCCACAUUGGGACUGAGAUACGGCCCAGACUCCUACGGGAGGCAGCAGUGGGGAAUAUUGCACAAUGGGCGCAAGCCUGAUGCAGCGACGCCGCGUGGGGGAUGACGGCCUUCGGGUUGUAAACUCCUUUCGCUAGGGACGAAGCGUUUUUGUGACGGUACCUGGAGAAGAAGCACCGGCUAACUACGUG